rnacentral:rRNA from 1 species
UACGAGGGGGGCGAGCGUUGUUCGGAAUUAUUGGGCGUAAAGCGCGCGCAGGCGGUUUCUUAAGUCUGAUGUGAAAGCCCACGGCUCAACCGUGGAGGGUCAUUGGAAACUGGGGAACUUGAGUGCAGAAGAGAAAAGCGGAAUUCCACGUGUAGCGGUGAAAUGCGUAGAGAUGUGGAGGAACACCAGUGGCGAAGGCGGCUUUUUGGUCUGUAACUGACGCUGAGGCGCGAAAGCGUGGGGAGCAAACGGG